UGGACAUCGAGAGGAACACACCGACGGCUGGACAUCGAGAGGAACACACCGACAGGCACUGGCACUGUGAAAGAAGGCAGACAAAAUGUGUGCAUAUUGUAGCUUCCAUUUAUAUAAUUGUAGGAAAUGCAAAUGAAUCUAUAGUGACAGAAAGCAGAUCAGUGGUUGCCUAGGGACUAGGGGUGGGGGGUGCAGGAGAGAGGGAUUUAAAGGGACACAAAGGAUCUGCAUUUCCCUAUUGCCCUAAGACUUCCCACUCCUGACCUCUGCCUAUUUCACCAAACACCUCUUUUUUUUCUUUUUUUUUUUUUGAGACAGAGUUUUGCUCUUGUCACCCAGGCUGGAGUGCAAUGCUGCGAUCUCAGCUCACUAUAACCU
rnacentral:lncRNA from 10 species